ensembl:ncRNA lncRNA:CR43874 long non-coding RNA:CR43874
AGACGCCGCCGGCAGCACUUGGCACCCUGGCACCCAAGCAGCCUGGCACUUCGGCACUAGGGAGUUUGGCAUACGGACUACAGACUGUGGACGGCGGAUGGAGGACUGCGACGGACUGCGGCCACGCCCACCUUUCCACACAUUUAGAGCACAAAGCGCUGACAAUGUGCGAGCAGCACGAGGCGAGAAAAAUGGGGAAAACGUUUUGUUACAAUUCACUCACAGGUGGCCCGCAGAGAGAAAAAAAAGUAGGCGUGUGAAAUCGUGGACUAAGUGAAAUAUUUAUUAGCCCCGGCACAUCGCAAGUCACGCGUUCGGGGCACGCGAUUAAAAUGGAAUUACGACGAGAAGAGCAGCUACGUGAAAGGUUACACGAGUGGUGGGAGUGGCAUGUAAUUUAAUCGAAUUUAUAAGCACCUACGUCUUGAUAAACACAAUCGCAAUCACAAUUCCAUUUACUCAUGCGCAGCAACCGGUUUUCGCAGAAAGUCACAGAAACAAUCGAGGAUAUUCCAGGGAGUGGGACAAUCAGGAUGGAGAAGCAAGGAAGAAGGAUGCAGCUGGAGCAGCUACAUCAAUGCCAAGCGUUAAUCGAUUAUGCUUACAUAAUUGCAUUUUUCCCAUCUCAGUAGUUGUGAAUCGCAACAAAAACCAGAUCGAGCCAUAAUCGAAUCACAGCAAUAGUUUCUGCCAUAUCAAGUUUAUUCUACACUCUUACUUGUAAGCUACAAAAAUGGUUGAGACUCAAUAACAAUAUAAGAAUUCUAGAUUGAUUUCAAUAUGAAUAUU